GUACAGUGUGGUGAGUCUCAUCAGCCACAUUGGAUGCAGUGCAACAUCAGGACAUUAUGUUAGUGCAGGAGUCCAGCGAGGAGCUGUUGAAGAUGAUACCACUGACUCCUGGCUCACAUAUGAUGACAGUUAUGUCACAAACGUAUCAGGGGAAUCGGUUUGUAGCAGUUAUAAAAAAAAUGCUUACGUCCUCUUCUACAAGAGACGGGACUGACGCCAGGGACCUGACCAGGCGGAUGGCUCUCCCCCACCUGCUCCACCAGCACCACAGCGAUGAACCCAACUAGAGGAUAAGCCUUACCCUAACCCAUUUUGGGGGGUCCUCAUAAAUUCAAGAGCGCUGUUUGGAUGUUAAGACUUUGCUUUAGGAAAGGAGUUACAAUGCUGGUUAGGUUAGGGUUAUAAAUUUUGUUGUGGGGGUAUGAGGAUGCAUUAUGUCUUCUAGUGUCCUCACCACUAUAGAGAGAUGUGUGUGAGUGAUGGGAUGUGUCAUCGGUGUGUGUAUCCAGGUUGAUUUUUGCGCUUUUACAUGUGAUAUGUGUUUGGGUGUGUGAGCAGCACUAGCUAACCCCCAUCAAGGCCAAAAAUAGGGACCAUCUUUACAUAAAGUCAUAUUGUUGAUAUUGUAGGAGGUGAUUUUUUCCAUAGAUAUGUAUUCUGAGGUUGGUCUCGCGGGUGAUAAUUAUUGAGUUUUUUGAUUUCCAGAUUUUUUGAGAAUGGUUUUCUUGGCUAUAGAGAAAUAAGUAAGUUGUUCUUGUAUUUGUUUUGUAUGUUCUGAU